GGAGGCAUAGCUCAGCUGGUAGAGCACACGCUUCACAUGCGUGGGGUCGCUGGUUCGAGUCCAGCUGUCUCCACCA
rnacentral:tRNA from 1 species